rnacentral:lncRNA from 1 species
AGAACUCGUCACCGCAAUUCAACUGCUUUUUAUGUUCAUGGUUGAUUUUUAAUUUUUUAAAGAUGAAGACUCAAUCAUAAGAAUUCUGCCCUUGUAAAUCUUGUUUCUGAUGAAUGUAGUGGAGACAAGCUAAGUUCCGCGACGUUAAAGUUACUUGAUGCUAAGAAGUAACAAACAAGAAUAGUAGAGGUAGUUCCCACCUAGCACAAUCUAGAC